CUACGGGGUGCUCCAGUAGAGAAUCUUCCGCAAUGGACGAAAGUCUGACGGAGCGACACCGCGUGGUGGAUGACACUCUUCGGAGCGUAAACACCUUUUAUGAGGGAAGAAAAUCUGACGGUACCUCAUGAAUAAGCACCGGCUAAUUACGUGCCAGCAGCCGCGGUAAUACGUAAGGUGCAAGCGUUAUCCGGAAUUAUUGGGCGUAAAGCGUCCGCAGGUGGUGUGAUAAGUCUGUCAUUAAAUACCGGUGCUCAACAUCGGUGCUGUGAUGGAAACUAUUACGCUAGAGGAUGGGAGAGGUAUGUGGAAUUGUGCAAGUAGGGGUAAAAUCCGUAGAUAUGCACAGGAACACCAAAAGCGAAGGCAGCAUACUGGACCAUUCCUGACACUCAGGGACGAAAGCGUGGGGAGCAAAACGGAUUAGAUACCCGCGUAGUC
rnacentral:rRNA from 1 species